rnacentral:rRNA from 1 species
CGGCGAGUGAAGCGGCAACAGCUCAAAUUUGAAAUCUGGCUUCGGCCCGAGUUGUAAUUUGCAGAGGAUGCUUCUGGCGCGGUGCCUUCCGAGUUCCCUGGAACGGGACGCCACAGAGGGUGAGAGCCCCGUAUGGUCGGACACCAAGCCUGUGUGAAGCUCCUUCGACGAGUCGAGUAGUUUGGGAAUGCUGCUCUAAAUGGGAGGUAAAUCUCUUCUAAAGCUAAAUACCGGCCAGAGACCGAUAGCGCACAAGUAGAGUGAUCGAAAGAUGAAAAGCACCUUGAAAAGGGGGUUAAAUAGUACGUGAAAUUGUUGAAAGGGAAGCGUUUAUGACCAGACUUGCGCCGGGCGGCUCAUCAGGGGUUCUCCCCUGUGCAUUCCGCCCGGCUCAGGCCAGCAUCGGUUCUCGUGGGGGGAUAAGACCGCCGGGAACGUAGCACCCUCCGGGGUGUGUUAUAGCCCGGCGGACGAUACCCUCGUGGGGACCGAGGUUCGCGCUCCGCAAGGAUGCUGGCGUAAUGGUCAUCAGCGACCCGUCUUGAAACACGGACCAAGGAGUCGUCCAUUAGAGCGAGCGUUUGGGUGUAAAACCCGCACGCGUAAUGAAAGUGAACGCAGGUGAGAGCUUCGGCGCAUCAUCGACCGAUCCUGAUGUUCUCGGAAGGAUUUGAGUAAGAGUUUUAACGGACGGACCCGAAAGACAGUGAACUAUGCUUGUAUAGGGUGAAGCCAGAGGAAACUCUGGUGGAGGCUCGCAGCGGUUCUGACGUGCAAAUCGAUCGUCAAAUAUGAGCAUGGGGGCGAAAG